GCUUAACGAGCCCCCAUUGUGAGCAGAGCAUGAUCAGCAACCACUGUCCUGGGUAUUCGGGGAGAAACAAGAACGGAGGCAGAAGCAGCACUCAGGCGGAAAGCAGUGACUUGUUCAACAAGUUUCAGAUGCCAGCAUUCCUGCUGCAACGUGUAGUCAGUGAAGCAGUUGGAUAAACUAACUGGAUUCCAGGAGAGUGGUUGGGACAUAGAAGCCCAGGUGGGUACCCUGACCAACGAAGAAAGAAUAAGACAGAUGAGAGAACAAAACAUCACCUUUAUUACUGAUAAAACUGCUGAGAAUGUGGCUCACACCUGUAGGCAACUGGAUUUUCCGACGUUGGACUCAGAGGUUUGAAGCAGUGCGUCUUGAACUUUGAUGUGCACCACAACCACCUGGGGGUCACACUAACAUGCAGAUUGCCCAGGUCUGGGCUGGGGCCUGAGAGUCUGCAUUUCUAACAAGCUUCCAGGUGACGUCAGUGCUGCCAUUGUGGGGGCCACUCUUUGAGGAGCAGAAUUAUAGAGGGACACCAUGAAGGUAGCAGAGUUCUAAGAGAGCUGGGAAGCGGCUGGCCGACGCAUGCCUAGGGGCUCCCUCCAGACUCUCCUUCCAG